CAGCAGCCGCGGUAAUACAGAGGGUGCGAGCGUUAAUCGGAUUUACUGGGCGUAAAGCGUGCGUAGGCGGCUUUUUAAGUCGGAUGUGAAAUCCCUGAGCUUAACUUAGGAAUUGCAUUCGAUACUGGGAAGCUAGAGUAUGGGAGAGGAUGGUAGAAUUCCAGGUGUAGCGGUGAAAUGCGUAGAGAUCUGGAGGAAUACCGAUGGCGAAGGCAGCCAUCUGGCCUAAUACUGACGCUGAGGUACGAAAGCAUGGGGAGCAAACAGGAUUAGAUACCUGCGUAGUCCCUGUCUCUUAUAC
rnacentral:rRNA from 1 species